UGGGGUAUGGGGUAUUGGCAGCCCGCCGGAUUCUGGUUCCGUCAGUCUAGGUUCGAGUCCUAGUACCCCAG
rnacentral:tRNA from 1 species